rnacentral:snRNA from 1 species
GGUCUGUUUAAUCUUAUCUUCAA